AAAGAUCGCAGCCUGCGGCAGCUCCUACAGGGAGUUCGCGGUUUCCCUGUAGGAGCUGCCGCAGGCUGCGAUCUUU
rnacentral:antisense_RNA from 1 species